CUGGAAGGCUGAGGAUUCACUGGGUGUGGCCAAGGUGCUCUCAAGCACUAAAGAGCUGUUCUAGUUAAUACAGAGUAUAGGGAAAUACAGUCAGUGCUGUGUAAUUUUAAUUAAACCCGUUAAAUCUAGCACCAGCAUAGACUGUAAGUGCCGGCUUCCAAAAGUAACAAAAUGUAUCGGUUAAUGUCUAAAGCCUUGCCUCUUCGUGGGCCUGCGCUGGAAAGGCAAAUGAGCCAAACAUCCAGAAACAGAGUCAACAGGAUGAGGCACUGGAGUUCUGGUGGUCUUUGAUCCCAUCCAUAUUCGAAAGGACCAAAAAAAAUAUGCUGCAAUGAAUGUUCUUGUCUAAAAUCCUUGUCUGCAAUUCCGAAGCCCGAACAGCUUUAAAAAAUGCAAGUCUCUUCAAAUUUUUGGCACGCUCAUUUGGCAGCUAAACUAUAGCUUGAACCAAUGUAAACUCAUUUAUGAAUCACUAACAACAACAACAACAAAUGUGGUUCUUAAACAUCAAGAGUCUCUGGGGCUUUUCUUUCCCACUACAAACCCUCUAUAAAACUUCCCAGAAUUCCUGUCCUUGAAGCAGGAGUCAAACUGGAUAGCAAGGAAUAACCCCCAGGAAGACUGAGAUGGGCCCUCUCUAAUCCAGUAUUCUACCGUCCAUCAUCAACAGACCCUUGUCUGUUAUUUCAUAGCGAUAAAAAACAUGAUUUAUCAGAUAAUGGAAAGAACUCAGAUUUUCAGGUGCCAGGAAUCGUAUCGCACAAAGUGAUUUUGAAGGUGGCAGUAACAGCAGAAAGAACCUCCGUAAAUUCUGGCUUGGUACUCCCAACACCAUUCCACAGUAAGAGAGUGAAACCAAGGAGCGCCUGGGCGGCUCAGGCAGUUAAACGUCCGAUUCUUGAUUUCGGCUCAGGUCAUGAUCUCGCGCCUGGUGGGAUCGCCCCGUGUCAGGCUCCUUGCUGACAGCAUGAAGCCCGCUUGGGAUUCUCUCUCCCUCUCUCUGCCACUCCCCCACUCACGCUCUUUCACUCUCUCUCAAAAUAAAUAAAAAACAUUUAAAAAAU